rnacentral:rRNA from 1 species
UCCAGACUCCUACGGGAGGCAGCAGUGGGGGAUAUUGCACAAUGGGGGGAACCCUGAUGCAGCGACGCCGCGUGGGUGAAGGAGCGUUUCGGCGCGUAAAGCCCUAUCGGCAGGGAAGAAGGAGGACGGUACCUGACUAAGAAGCCCCGGCUAACUACGUGCCAGCAGCCGCGGUAAUACGUAGGGGGCAAGCGUUAUCCGGAUUUACUGGGUGUAAAGGGGGCGCAGACGGCAGCGCAAGCCAGGAGUGAAAGCCCGGGGCCCAACCCCGGGACUGCUCUUGGAACUGCGCGGCUGGAGUGCAGGAGGGGCAGGCGGAAUUCCUGGUGUAGCGGUGAAAUGCGUAGAUAUCAGGAGGAACACCGGUGGCGAAGGCGGCCUGCUGGACUGCGACUGACGUUGAGGCCCGAAAGCGUGGGGAGCAAACAGGAUUAGAUACCCGUACC